rnacentral:rRNA from 1 species
GUGAGGAAUAUUGGACAAUGGAUGGAAAUCUGAUCCAGCCAUGCCGCGUGCAGGAAGACGGCCCUAUGGGUUGUAAACUGCUUUUGUAUGGGAGCAAUAAGGGCUACGUGUAGCCUGAUGAGAGUACCAUACGAAUAAGGACCGGCUAACUCCGUGCCAGCAGCCGCGGUAAUACGGAGGGUCCGAGCGUUAUCCGGAUUUAUUGGGUUUAAAGGGUGCGUAGGCGGUUUUAUAAGUCAGCGGUGAAAUUUUCCGGCACAACCGGGAUACUGCCGUUGAUACUGUAAGGCUAGGAUAUGGUUGCUGUGGGUGGAAUGUGUGGUGUAGCGGUGAAAUGCUUAGAGAUCACACAGAAUAUCGAUUGCGAAGGCAGCUCACAAAGCCAUUAUUGACGCUGAGGCACGAAAGUGUGGGGAUCAAACAGGAUUAGAAACCCGAGUAGUCC